rnacentral:rRNA from 1 species
GAUGAACGCUGGCGGCGUGCCUAAUACAUGCAAGUCGAGCGAACGGACGAGAAGCUUGCUUCUCUGAAGUUAGCGGCGGACGGGUGAGUAACACGUGGAUAACCUACCUAUAAGACUGGGAUAACUUCGGGAAACCGUAGCUAAUACCGGAUAAUAUUUUGAACCGCAUGGUUCAAAAGUGAAAGACGGUCUUGCUGUCACUUAUAGAUGGAUCCACGCUGCAUUAGCUAGUUGGUAAGGUAACGGCUUACCAAGGCAACGAUGCAUAGCCGACCUGAGAGGGUGAUCGGCCACACUGGAACUGAGACACGGUCCAGACUCCUACGGGAGGCAGCAGUAGGGAAUCUUCCGCAAUGGGCGAAAGCCUGACGGAGCAACGCCGCGUGAGUGAUGAAGGUCUUCGGAUCGUAAAACUCUGUUAUUAGGGAAGAACAUAUGUGUAAGUAACUGUGCACAUCUUGACGGUACCUAAUCAGAAAGCCACGGCUAACUACGUG